GCUUGUAGAAAACAAACAGACGGACGGACGGAUGCGGUCGGUGAGCGCGUCGUGUUAUCGAACGAUUAAAAUAGUGAAACGAAUUUGUUGCUAGAAAUACAAACAAAUAUUGCCAGAUGGCUUGCAAAAAGUACACAAAACGUUUGCUGCUUUGCUGGCGCAUCCAAUUUUAAGGCGCGGUUUGAGACAAACUUGCUAGGUGACUUCUUUGUCUACAAUGUUCUGCCAAGAGACCGCCAACUAGAAGACCAGCUGCCUCUACUAAGUUCAAUUGCCUGUUUACCUGUCUUCCUGUUUGA